UGCAAGUCGAACGAUGAUGCCCAGCUUGCUGGGUGGAUUAGUGGCGAACGGGUGAGUAACACGUGAGUAACCUGCCCCUGACUCUGGGAUAAGCGUUGGAAACGACGUCUAAUACUGGAUAUGAUCACUGGCCGCAUGGUCUGGUGGUGGAAAGAUUUUUUGGUUGGGGAUGGACUCGCGGCCUAUCAGCUUGUUGGUGAGGUAAUGGCUCACCAAGGCGACGACGGGUAGCCGGCCUGAGAGGGUGACCGGCCACACUGGGACUGAGACACGGCCCAGACUCCUACGGGAGGCAGCAGUGGGGAAUAUUGCACAAUGGGCGAAAGCCUGAUGCAGCAACGCCGCGUGAGGGAUGACGGCCUUCGGGUUGUAAACCUCUUUUAGUAGGGAAGAAGCGAAAGUGACGGUACCUGCAGAAAAAGCACCGGCUAACUACGUGCCAGCAGCCGCGGUAAUACGUAGGGUGCAAGCGUUGUCCGGAAUUAUUGGGCGUAAAGAGCUCGUAGGCGGUUUGUCGCGUCUGCUGUGAAAUCCCGAGGCUCAACCUCGGGCUUGCAGUGGGUACGGGCAGACUAGAGUGCGGUAGGGGAGAUUGGAAUUCCUGGUGUAGCGGUGGAAUGCGCAGAUAUCAGGAGGAACACCGAUGGCGAAGGCAGAUCUCUGGGCCGUAACUGACGCUGAGGAGCGAAAGCAUGGGGAGCGAACAGGAUUAGAUACCCUGGUAGUCCAUGCCGGUAAACGUUGGGCGCUAGAUGUAGGGACCUUUCCACGGUUUCUGUG
rnacentral:rRNA from 1 species